rnacentral:SRP_RNA from 1 species
GUCCUACUUUUGUCGAAAAACAUUUUUUGAAUCGUGCCAGAACUGAAAAGAAGCAGCACUAAUAGACAUAUUUUCGGACAAGGUAGGCAACCAAAA